UUUAUUUAAGAAAAUUUAAUACAAAGGCUAUUUUUUUAUAGCAAACGAACCCAAAAACUAAAUCAAACCCAAUAGAGAACUACAAACCAAGGGAACCCAUUUAAAAUCAAACAAAAUCCACGAUUUGGACCAAACCAGACUCAAAUUGGACCUAAAUUACUCUAGGAAACCCUGGAAAGUUGCAAAUUAUUGUUUGGGGCCCACAUUUUCUUCUGCUCUCUCUCAUUUCCAACGGCAGUCCCGCUUUCUCUCUCUCUCUCACUUUCGAUUGUUGCUCUAGCCGACCAGUAGCGACGCUACCUUGUCCCCGCUGUAGCCUCAUCGGCGCUUCUCUCUCUCCUUCUUCGUCUUCGAUUCUGGCAAGCACAGGAACCACGAGCGAAUCGCGACUCUGUUUCGAUCAAGACAGUCGCGUCUUCGGUGUUCUCAUUUUUCCGAUGAUUGCAGACUAGCCAAUCGGUCCUUCUCAUCGGCAAUAAUCUUCCAGUCCCUCUCUCACUAUAUCUUGGCCUUGUUAAUGCAGUAAGGGAGGUGCUUGGGUUGUGUUACUCCGAUCGACACAGCCUCCUCUCCAUCUCUCGUUUUUCGGCAAGGCUAGCCACCAAUCGAUGAAAAUAGCACUCCUCCCGUUGCUAGCUCCUCACCAAUGCUACUCCGACAACUCCCUUUCUCAUUUCCGGUCAAGUCAGCGGUGGCAGUAGCUGUGUUGGUGCUUAGUUGCUACUGGAGGUCAUUUUUAACCGAAAAAUUCUUGUUUCUGGCUUGUUUUGUAGCUAAGUAAGCUAUAUUUCGACGUUCCUAAAUUUGAUUUAUGAAUUCGUUAACCUUAGUUGAUUUGAGAUAUAAAAUUAGCCACGGUAGAAAUUUAAUUAUUUAGCUACUGUUUAUGUGAAAAUAAGUAGGGAUUCCAAUUUCUGUUCUUUGAAUUAGUAUAUAAACUGAAUGUCUAUGUAGAAAUGGUUGAUCAUUGCUUUUACUAUAAAUUCUUAACGAGGAUUAAGGAUUCUUUAGGUUGAUAGAAGCUAGUUAACUAUACGCUAAGUUCUUAAGAUCUUAUUAAGAAAGUAUUAAAUUUUUAUUCAUUUUGAAUGAGC
rnacentral:lncRNA from 1 species